UAGUUGCCGUUACACGUUGUUGGAGCACGUUAAAAGACACGUUUUUGUAAGUUCAAUGUAGCCAUUUUGUAAGAAGACGAGAGUGCCGAGAACCUACCGUAUGAGGCAAGUCGACGACGGGCAGGAUUUCGGCCGAAGUUUAGCCCCUUAUGGGUGUGAGCCCACGAGUUCUCACGGGUUGCCAGGAAUAAACCCUGUAUUUUUGUCGUGGACUUCGUGUCGUCAUUCAUGCCGCAUCCUGAGGGCGCUACAGUGAGAACUCUCCCGCUCCGACGCAUGGUGAGACGACAAGGACGAUGCCAGCGCGCGAGAGAAGGACGACCAUCGUGACUCCAUUUUGUGUGACGAAACACAAAGCACGGAAAAUCCACGUUCACGAUGUCGACAAGAUAAGCCAAUUAGGAAACUAUAAGAAGUUGAAACCUUGAUAUACAAUUAUUUUUGCUUAAGAACUAUAAUUGUAUUGAGUGCUUAUUUGUUGUUGUACUGUUAGGUUGAAUUGUUCUACUUAUUUUGUAGUUGUGAUAGCCAUUUUUGCAAAGGUUUAAUUGCUUAAAGUUAAGAAAACAUUUAAGUUAAGGUGGUAACAAUUGCAUGUAUGUUAUACUGAUUCAAACUGAGAUCUUGCAUUUAAAUAUUUUUGUGACAGUUUACUGUGCUUUUCAGCAAGGUUAAUUUGACUAAUGCAAAUAGUUACGAUUUAACUGCUUUGAAUAUUAGGCUUAUUUUAAGUCCUCAAGUUAAAGUAAACAAAACAUCGACCAAAUUUAACAAUGGCAACGCUUGAGUCUCAGUCAGAAGUCAGUGAUCGUGAUGUAGAGCAACCAUUCGCAACUGAAGGUGCCGAAAGAGACAAUUCCACUACUCAACAAGAGCUACAAAGGAGCCAAAGAACCCGCAAGUUGACGGAAAAGGGCCAAGAGCUGCGUGAUGAGCUGAUAAGUAAAGCAACACAUCGAUUCAGCGUGUGCUAUGAGAAGUGGAAGUUUGUCGCUAAAGAUGCCAAGAAAGCCUUGCAUGAAGGAUGCUCAGAAGAUCAAAUGCAUGAACAUGUCAACAAAGUAACAGAGGCUUCAAAAAAUGUAAGCACUGCUUAUGAAGAAUUGAGACGCAUUACCUAUCCAGACAAUGCCAUGCGACGCAGAAUUGAUACAUGUGAAGCAGUAACUAAGACAGUAAU